rnacentral:rRNA from 1 species
GACGAACGCCGGCGGCGUGCUUAACACAUGCAAGUCGAACGGAAAGGCCCUGCUUUUGUGGGGUGCUCGAGUGGCGAACGGGUGAGUAACACGUGAGUAACCUGCCCUUGACUUUGGGAUAACUUCAGGAAACUGGGGCUAAUACCGGAUAGGAGCUCCUGCUGCAUGGUGGGGGUUGGAAAGUUUCGGCGGUUGGGGAUGGACUCGCGGCUUAUCAGCUUGUUGGUGGGGUAGUGGCUUACCAAGGCUUUGACGGGUAGCCGGCCUGAGAGGGUGACCGGCCACAUUGGGACUGAGAUACGGCCCAGACUCCUACGGGAGGCAGCAGUGGGGAAUAUUGCACAAUGGGCGGAAGCCUGAUGCAGCAACGCCGCGUGCGGGAUGACGGCCUUCGGGUUGUAAACCGCUUUCGCCUGUGACGAAGCGUGAGUGACGGUAAUGGGUAAAGAAGCACCGGCUAACUACG